rnacentral:rRNA from 1 species
AGUGAACGUUGGCGGCGUGGAUUAGGCAUGCAAGUCGUGCGGUAAGGCCCCGCAAGGGGCACACGAGCGGCGAAAGGGAGAGUAACGCGUGGAUUAUCUACCCCCGGGAUCGGGACAGACGCGGGAAACUGCGGUUAAUACCGAAUAAUGUCUCCGGACCAAAGGUGUGAUUCCGCCUGGGGAUGAGUCCGGGUCCUAUUAGCUUGUUGGUGAGGUAACGGCUCACCAAGGCCACGAUGGGUACGAGGUGUGAGAGCAUGACCUCGCUCACUGGGACUGAGACACUGCCCAGACACCUACGGGUGGCUGCAGUCGAGAAUCUUCGGCAAUGGGCGCAAGCCUGACCGAGCGACGCCGCGUGCGGGAUGAAGGCCUUCGGGUUGUAAACCGCUGUCGGAGGGGAGGAAAUGCGCGGGGGUUCUCCCUCGCGUUUGACCUAGCCUCAAAGGAAGGACGGGCUAAGUUCGUGCCAGCAGCCGCAGUAACAC